UGGUGGUGGGGAAGCAGGAGUCCGGCGACCUGGUUGUGAUCGCGGCGGUGUCGUAGGCAUGGAAGGGGUAGACGGAGAAGAAGGUGAUGAUUCUAAUAUCGAAAAUCUGGUGGUGGUACCAAUAUCAAAGGCUUCUGCACAGCAAAGGGCUGGGAGAGCUGGAAGAGUACAACCUGGGAAGUGUUAUAAGCUCUACACAGAAGAUAUUA